CCUACGAGAGGCAGCAGUGAGGAAUAUUGGUCAAUGGACGCAAGUCUGAACCAGCCAAGUAGCGUGCAGGAUGACGGCCCUCCGGGUUGUAAACUGCUUUUAGUUGGGAAUAAACGGGGGCUCGUGAGCCCCGUAUUGUAUAUACCAUCAGAAAAAGGAGCGGCUAAUUCCGUGCAAGCAGCCGAGGUAAUACGGAAGGUCCGGGCGUUCUCCGGUUUUUUUGGGUUUAAAGGGAGCGUAGGCCGGCUUUUACGCUUGCUGUGAAAGUACGCGGCUCAACCGUGGAAUUGCAGUUGAAACUGGAGGCCUUGAGUGCACAGAGGGAUGCCGGAAUUCAUGGUGUAGCGGUGAAAUGCUUAGAUAUCAUGAAGAACUCCGAUCGCGAAGGCAAGUGUCCGGGGUGCAACUGACGCUGAGGCUCGAAAGUGCGGGUAUCAAACAGGAUUAGAUACCCUAGUAGUC
rnacentral:rRNA from 1 species